GAUGAACGCUGACAGAAUGCUUAACACAUGCAAGUCGAUGGGGAAGUGGUGCUUGCACCAUGGUAACCAUGGCGGACGGGUGAGUAACGCGUAAGGAACUUGCCUGCCGGACUGGGAUAACAGCAGGAAACUGCUGAUAAUACCGAAUAAGGUCAUUAAGCUGCAUAGCUUAGUGAUGAAAGGAGACGCCUGCGGAGAGCCUUGCGUCCUAUUAGCUAGUUGGAGGGGCAACGGCCCACCAAGGCGAAGAUAGGUAGCCGGCCUGAGAGGGUGGACGGCCACAAGGGGACUGAGAGACGGCCGUUACUCCUACGGGAGGCAGCAGGGGGGAAUAUUGGACAAUGGGGGCAACCCUGAUCAAGCAAUUCUGUGUGCACGAAGACGGUUUUCGGAUUGUAAAGUGCUUUCAGCAGGGAAGAAGGAAGUGACGGUACCUGCAGAAGAAGCGACGGCUAAAUACGUG
rnacentral:rRNA from 1 species